rnacentral:rRNA from 1 species
AGAGUUUGAUCAUGGCUCAGAACGAACGCUGGCGGCAGGCCUAACACAUGCAAGUCGAACGCCCUAGCAAUAGGGAGUGGCGCACGGGUGCGUAACGCGUGGGAAUAUGCCCUUGACUACGGAACAACACAGGGAAACUUGUGCUAAUACCGUAUAAUGUCUCCGGACCAAAGAUUUAUCGGUCAAGGAUUAGCCCGCGUUAGAUUAGCUAGUUGGUGAGGUAAUGGCUCACCAAGGCUACGAUCUAUAGCUGGUCUGAGAGGAUGAUCAGCCACACUGGGACUGAGACACGGCCCAGACUCCUACGGGAGGCAGCAGUGAGGAAUAUUGGACAAUGGGGGCAACCCUGAUCCAGCCAUGCCGCGUGAGUGAUGAAGGCCUUCGGGUUGUAAAACUCUUUUAGAUGUGACGAUGAUGACGGUAACAUCAGAAAAAGCUCCGGCUAACUUCGUG